rnacentral:rRNA from 1 species
CUACGUGCCAGCAGCCGCGGUAAUACGUAGGGUGCGAGCGUUAAUCGGAAUUACUGGGCGUAAAGCGAGCGCAGACGGUUACUUAAGCAGGAUGUGAAAUCCCCGGGCUCAACCUGGGAACUGCGUUCUGAACUGGGUGACUAGAGUGUGUCAGAGGGAGGUAGAAUUCCACGUGUAGCAGUGAAAUGCGUAGAGAUGUGGAGGAAUACCGAUGGCGAAGGCAGCCUCCUGGGAUAACACUGACGUUCAUGCUCGAAAGCGUGGGUAGCAAACAGGAUUAGAUACCCUGGUAGUCCACGCCCUAAACGAUGUCAAUUAGCUGUUGGGCAACUUGAUUGUUCAGUAGCGUAGCUAACGCGUGAAAUUGACCGCCUGGGGAGUACGGUCGCAAGAUUAAAACUCAAAGGAAUUGACGGGGACCCGCACAAGCGGUGGAUGAUGUGGAUUAAUUCGAUGCAACGCGAAGAACCUUACCUGGUCUUGACAUGUACGGAAUCUCUCAGAGACGGGAGAGUGC